rnacentral:ncRNA from 2 species
CAACGUGCCCGGGGUCAGUGCAAGUCUGAACCGGCGGUGAGAGUCCGCGACCCGUGAGCCCGUCUCGUCCGAGGCGGUCGAUCGGCUGAGCUGGUGGAAUUCCAGCACCGACGGUGAGAGUCCGGAGGGGAGGCGCACGUGG